GUAUUUGCGACGGCAGCCGAAGAAGAAGAAUCAGUCGAGCUUUUAUCAACUCGAAGUGGCUACGUAAAUGUUAGCAAGGUAACACAAAUGGUUGUUCUUUCUCUUGGGUGUUGUUUCCCAUUGCUGACUCGACAUGGGCAAGAGAGACAAUCGAGUGGCUUACAUUAACCCCAUUGCUGCUGCACGAGCCAGGGGGCCGGUACAGGGCUCUGGGCCAACCAUUCAGGAUUAUUUAAGCAGACCUCGACCAACAUGGGAGGAGCUAAAGGAACAGCUGGAGAAGAAGAAAAAGGGCUCUCGAGCCCUGGCUGACUUUGAGGACAAAAUGAAUGAGAGAUGGAAGAAAGAACUUGCCAAAAACAGAGAGAAAAUGCUAGGUGCAAGUGAAAAGGACAAGGAGGAGAAGAAAGACAAAAAAGAGAAAAAGAAGAAGGAGAAGAAGAAAUCCAGCAGGCAUUCUUCAUCUUCCUCCUCCUCAUCGAGUUCUGAUUCCUCCAGCAGCUCCUCCUCAGAGUCAGAUGACGAGGAUGAAAAGAAGACUGUAAAGAAGAAGCGAAAGAGAAAGAAGUCGUCAUCCAGAAGAGCAUCGGACAGCUCAGAGGAUGAGUCAGAUGCUGAAAGCAAGAAGAAAAGGAAAAGAAUAAAGGAAGAAGGUGACAGAGAUAAGGAUGAAAAGAGCCGUAGAAGAAAGAGGAAGGCUGAGAGAAGUCAUAAAGGCUCAUCAUCAGAGUCGUCUGCUGACUCUGAUGAUGAUGAGGCGGUUGAAGCCAAGAAGAAGAAGAGAAGCAGCGAGGAAAAGGAGAAAUUCACAGACAAAUCCAAGAAGAAGAGGAAAAAGAAGCACAAAAAACAUGGCAGAAAAAAGAAAAAGAAGGCGGCGUCUCAGUCGGACUCGGACCUCGACUGAAAACGUGUCUCCCAUUUUUCUGACAGCUCAAUAGUAGAGUCAUUUUUGCCUUUGACUACCAAAAACUACUCGCAUCCAAUUUUUGGGGAUUUCCACCUGAACAGGGGAAGCAGCGGGCUUGAAUGCUCGGCUUCUAUGUGUGAAGUGAAAAUGAGGAAAGCGCCGGUCCCUCUAAGUGGAAACGACUGGUGCAUCUUUUUUUGUUUUACCACCAUGAUUUUUCUGCACUAUUGGUCUGAGUUACACAGUACAGGACUGAACUCCCCACACUUCCCUCUCUUUUCCUCCUCUCUCUCUGUGGAGAUUUGAGUGUGCCUGGCACUCCCCACCACCUUCAGAAUGCUAGCCCUCUAGGAGUUAGCCCCUGUGCUUCACACCUGACAUCUUCCAUUGCUACACGAGGCUGUUGAUGCUAGUGCCUGCGUGAUGCAUGUAGACGUGAUGACCGGAUGUCUUGUCAGCUUCAUAUUGAAGUUGGCCAUUGUUGUAAGAAAUGAGCUGCACAGUCAUACAGUAAUACAAGGGAUAAUUGUUUUCGUUAGAUGAGUUGUUACACUGCAGUGUAAUUGUACAAACAAUGGAGUUCAAUAAUAAAGUAUUGUUUUAACCUUU